rnacentral:sRNA from 1 species
CCCUAGCCCCGAUUGCAGCGAAAAUCCUUUUGCGUAGCGCAGCGAAGGAAAAGAUUGCAGUGGAAAGCGGGAAUAGCU